rnacentral:rRNA from 1 species
GACGUAGGGCGCGAGCGUUGUCCGGAUUUAUUGGGCGUAAAGGGUGCGUAGGCGGUUUUGUAAGUCUUAUGUGAAAUCUAUGGGCUCAACUCAUAGACUGCAUGAGAAACUGCAGGGCUUGAGUAUGGGAGAGGUGAGUGGAAUUCCUGGUGUAGCGGUGAAAUGCGUAGAUAUCAGGAGGAACACCUGUGGCGAAAGCGGCUCACUGGACCAUAACUGACGCUGAUGCACGAAAGCUAGGGGAGCAAACAGG